rnacentral:lncRNA from 1 species
GGAGAGUGUGGGGGGAAGAGGAAGGGAGGGAGGGGAAUAUGAGGAGGGAUAACGGACACAUGCACACAUACAUACAUACAUACAUACAUACAUACAUACAUACAUACAUACAUACAUACAUACAUACAUACAUACAUACAUACAUACAUACGCAUACACACCCGGUUUCAGCACUACCAUCACCAUCACCACCACCACCAACAACAACAGCAGCGACAGGACCAGCAUAGAGGUUGGCUCAGGAAGUGGGUGGGCACAUACAUACAUACAUACAUACAUACAUACAUACAUACACAGCCAAGCUGGGCAACGCCACCAGGCCCAGGAAAGGAACCAACACAACUCAACACAACACCGC